rnacentral:tRNA from 1 species
AGCGGCGUAGGGCAGCCUGGUAGCCCGCGGGGCUCAUAAGUGGGGUAAGUUCCCACGGUGAGACCCCGAGGUCCCUGGUUCAAGUCCAGGCGCCGCUA